CCAUGUAUUUCCCUCCCUUAUUACUCCACAAAACAACUAGUCCCCCACUAUAUAUAUUCCAAUCAACAGUCCAACUAUAACCCUAAAAUUCUAGAUAAUAUAUUUAGGUCAAGACAAUUAGAAAUUAUUUCAUGUAGUCUUAAAUGAGAUAGCGUGACAUCUAUUGAUUGGUCCAAGACUUUGGACAUUUAUAACAAGUUUAAUGAUUAGAGUCCAACACAAAAUAAAACAAGAAAAGUACAUUCAUCCAAGUUGGUUUCAGGUGAUGACUAAUGGAUGUCACUUGGCAAGGAAGAAUAAUAAAUUUACAGGCUUAAACUUCACAUAUUGGGGGACCAGGGGAAAGAAAAAUACUCUAACUGCAUAUCAUACGUAAAGUUGGGAAGAUAUUAGAUAGUCACAGAUAGCACAAGCAAAUUAAGUCUAAUAUUUAUCCAUCCAUAUGCCGCAUCAAAGGGAUGAUGGCCUAGAGGGUAAUUAUUCGAACACUCGCCCAGCCCACAAUUUCUCAACUGUCAAAAGAAAUAUGCAAAAGCAUGUAUAAUGAAUUCCUGCUACUCUUCACACUAUCUUCGCCUGCUUUCUUUAACUAAGCAAUUGACCUCUCACGUCAACCAAGCCCGCCAUGAGCAAGCCCUCUCUCUCUUCCACCACAUUCACUCCUCCCUUUCUCUAUCUCUCGACACCUUCGUUUUCCC
rnacentral:lncRNA from 1 species